GACGAACCUGACGAACGUUAUUCGGAAUCACUGGGCUUAAAGGGUGCGUAGGCUGCGCAGCAAGUUGGGUGUGAAAUCCCUCGGCUUAACCGAGGAACUGCGCCCAAAACUGCUGUGCUCGAGGGAGAUAGAGGUGAGCGGAACUUAGGGUGGAGCGGUGAAAUGCGUUGAUAUCCUAAGGAACACCGGUGGCGAAAGCGGCUCACUGGAUCUCUUCUGACGCUGAGGCACGAAAGCUAGGGUAGCGAACGGG
rnacentral:rRNA from 1 species